GAAUCUCGAAUCGGGGGUGAUAAGAAGUUAAUUCAGAUGAUCGAAGGGCGACGGAAGCUAGGGAUUGAGGUCGCGGAGAGGAAAGGGGGCGCUUCUAGGGCACGGCCUCGACAAUAGAGAGAGAGAGAGAGAGAGAGAGAGAGAGAGAGAAAGUCUAGAGAGAGAGAGAGGAAGGGGGGCCACAUGAUUCGGAUUCGCCGGGCUCAUAGGGGAACGGACUCUGACAUGGCACGCACCUCACACGAGACACAACCGGAGACCUCACUGUCACCUAUCUACACGCCACGUGUCCCUCUCUCUCUUUUUUUUUUUCUCUUUUGCUUUCUUCGUCCGUGUUUUGGUGUCACUACUGUGCAAUCGGGUCCAAGUGAGCCAGCCAUGGAUCAUUCUUUCCUUUACUUUUUUCAAAGUUGUUCACUAGAGAUCUUCGGUUUCUACUUUUGAUGUUUUAGUGUUUUUAAACUGUUUUUCGGUUUGUAGCUUGUUUAUAGUUAAAUUCGUUUUUUAGAUACGACGAGCUUUAUCUUUUAUAUAUUGAUUACAUUACUUUUUAAUUAAAUAAUGUUCAAAAUGAAAUCUUCUGUUUUUAAUACGCCGCCGAAAACCAUUCCCUAGAAUCAUUUUAACUAGAAUUCAAAAAAAAAUCGUUGGUAAAUUUUUUCCGUUAUCGUCUUUAUUCUGGAAAUAAAAAGAGUUAAUGACAAAUGUAAAAUGGACCAUCAGGUUUUUUGGGCUGCUUAGGUUACCUGUGUUGACCGUCAUUUGGGACCCAUUUUGAGGCCUUUGAAAGUUAGAACUGUCAUAUAAAAUCUUUUUUCUUAUAAAUAUACAGUGAUUUUUACUUUGUUGGAGAAAAAACUAAUUUUAUUCGAACUGGGUGUUCUGUUUUGCAUCUUGAGUAUGAAAACUUAUGACAUAGUUUGAUAGUCCAGUUGGUCGUUUUGUGAUAAUUAAUUAUAAUAAUAUUUCACAUAUAAGUAUAAUUAGUUUUUUCUCUUUUGGUUAUUUCACAUAUAUUAAUUAGAAUAAUAUUUUACAUAAUAAUUAAAAAUAUUAUAGAUAUAUAUAUAUAUAUAUGAAAUUUAAUGAGAAAAUGUAUAAGAGGAAAUAAAAUAUCAAUAUAUUCAAGAAGCACAUGUAUAUGACCAGAAAUAAUUAAUAGUUUGUGUGUUUAAGAUACUUCAUUCUACUUAUUAUCAUAAUUGAAGUAAAACAAACCUUGAAUAAUGUUUUAAAAUUAUAUAUGCAUGAAAAUUUUUUUGAUGGUAGGAUAAGUAUAUAAUCUGAAAUAAGAAUAACAAACCAUAAAUUGUGAAAAUUAACUUCAUUUUAGAAUGAGAGUAAACUAAACAUUUUCAAAUGCUCAUUUAAAAUUUAAGAUGUUUUAUAUUGCUCACUAACCCGUAGUACUAAUUUUCUAAUAAUUAUGCAUUACGAACGAGAUAUGCAGUAUGUAUGAAGCCACAUGGAUAAAAAACAAUGAGAAAUACGGUUAAAUAAAAUCAAAAAAAAACACACACACACAUUAAAGAACUUAAGAUGCGGAAGUGUUUCCAUUAAACAAAUCUUCUCUAUUAAAA